rnacentral:misc_RNA from 1 species
CGUAUUACACACACGUAAAACGGACACAGUCGUCCGUCCUGUCGGCCGCGUAUUGGUCGGUGGCGCGCGUGCAACCAUCCCGGAGUGGGAGCUGCCGCACAACUGGUUUCACCUCGUCGGGUGGUGAGCUUUUCGCGCGGCCGACGACGACGUCAUCGUGGUCGAAUCUUCGUUGCCAAGGCAACGUCGCCGCCGCUGUGCGCAUUAUUGUUAUUACCAUUACUAUAGUCACUACACACACAAUAUUAUAAUAAUAUCUAAUAUAAAAAUAUAAUGUAUUAUAUUUCGAUCGCCACUCGGCCGGAGUAGGAGGUGUUGUGUUCGCACGAUUGGUCGCGUAGAUACGGCUCGUUUUACUAUCCACUAUUAUUAUUAUUAUUAUUAUUUAAUCGCCGUCUUUCGCCUCGGUCUACUGUCUCGGUCGUCCUCGUCGCACUGCACAUAAUAGGGUUGUAAUAAGAUUAACCAUAACCUAUAUAGGUACGUACUCCCUUCGUCGUCCGCCACGAUUUCGAUUGUCUUGGCGACACCGCCGCACCUGGUAUGAUCGUCAACCACCGCUGUAGUACCGGAUCCGCGUGGAAGGAAGCCGUCGGGCGGUUGCGGCAGAUCGAGAGGGACGAUCGGGCGUUUGUGCGAGACGCCCCGAACACCGACAGAAACCUGGUGCGCGCCACGGCAGCAAGGCUGUACGUUAGAUAUAUGGUGACUAGUAACGAACUAACGGCAUGCCAUAACAACAUUAUACAACCACAGUUACGGAUUUUUAUAAAAAAAUUAUUAAUGUGCACUUUUGGACGUAUACUUGAACUCAAACAAAUUCUUAUUGGUGAAGACUUCUCAAUAUACACACCAAUAAUUGAAGAAUUGAAUAAUAUGAAAAUAACCUAUGACCAGUUUGAAUUAAGUAUACCUCGAUGUUUCCGAAAUGAGAGACUAUCAUUUUUAAACGAUAUGGACAAUAAGAUAGAUGAAAUAAAUAACCGUAUUUUAAUAGAAAAAAACAAUAACUUAUUAAGCGAAAUAAAAAACGAAAGUAUUGAAAUAGACGAUGUAAAGCGGUCUAGCACUAGUCAAUUGAUCAGUCAUGAAUCAUCCGAAUCCUAUUUCGAUGUAGAUAAAUUCGUUUUUGAUACACAACCUGUAAUUACAUUUGAAAAAAUUACAAGUGCAGAUAAUUCAAGAGAAUUGUCUAUAAAACUCAUUCAAAAACAUAUCAGAGCAGUAAGAGAUCGUGUGGCUGUCAAUGAAUUAAUAUUUGCUAGAAUAACUAGAAGCAAUAUAAUUUCCGGGAAGUAUAAACAGCCUAGCAAAGAGAAAGGCCAGGAAGCGGCAGUUAAGAUUCAACGAUUUUGGAGACAUUAUCGAAUAAUGACAAUAGUUAAUGCUAGGAAACUAAAACGACACAUUCAACUUGGUAUGUUUAUGACUAGUGAAAAACUGAAUUUCGAUAUUAAUCGUGAACUAGAGGAUACAAUUCGAAUACAACAAACUGAAGCAGAUAUAGAGUAUCGUAAAAUUAUAAGUAAAUUGGAAGACAAUUUUAUCCAACGCAACAAAUAUGAAAUAAUAGAAGAAAUCGAAGAUGAGCUUAGGGCAUACGUGUGGACAUAUUUUGAAAUGUGUCAUCAUUUACCGUCUUGGCCGAAUUCAAAACCUAUCAUGUUCUCUGACGAUGAUGAUAAAAUUAUUGGAUUACCCCCGAUAGUUUUAUCGCCAGCUAUCUUAAAACAGUUAAAUAUACCGAAUGUACAUUAUAAGUCAGCAUUAAAACAACGAUUACCACUUGGAGGUUCAGCUAUUAUUCAAACAGGAAGGUGGAUGACUAUAAAAAUGGCUGAAAUACUUGCAAUGUUAAUUAUAGAAUUUGAAAAUAAACCAGCAAAAGAGAGAAAUGUUCUAAUCAAACAACUGGCAGAAAAAAAUAAAAUUGAAAAAGCAAAAAAUGUUGAAACCGCAAAACUUAAGGAAAGGUUAUUAGCAGCAAUUAAAAUUGUGGGCAUUGUUUUGGAAUCAAGUGAGUUAACGGAAUGGUUUAAAGAAACGUUUAAUGAAUAUGAUAGUAAUUGGGCGUUAGAUAGUGGAAUCGAAAAUGAACCUAGGGAAGAUCUAAUAAAAUCUGAAAUUUAUUCAAAGGCUCAAGUGGAACUUAGAACUAUAGUUGAUGAAACCAUUAAGGAAGAAUUAAAUAUUCUAAAAAUGGCAUAUGCCCAGGAUUUGAGUAAAAUCGUUAUUAAAAUAUUUUAUACAUUUAAAAUGUUAGUUUUUAAUAUGCACUAUAUAAACUGAUUACAGAAAAGAAAUAUAAAAAACCAAAAAUAAAAAGCAAAAAAAUAAAAAAAGGUCGAAAAAAAAAAAUAUUAACACCAGAUCCAAAUGAAAUCUUUGAAGAGUUGGUUAAAAACAAUUUAAUUAAAAAGUCAGUAACCUCUAGAUUUAUAGAUUUUCAAGGAGAAGUAUCAUUCAGCGCUAGUGUAUUAAGAGAAAAACCAUAUUAUUCUGAUCCACCAUAUUGCUUAGGUGAUAUACGUCAAAUUAUCAAAGAGUUUUGUGUUAUUGGUUUGAUUUUUGAGGAGCUUCGUACAUUAAAAAAUAUUGAAUUCAGUCGAUCACUAUUGAUAGCUGGUCCAAAAAAGUCUGGAAAAUCAAUGUU